rnacentral:rRNA from 1 species
AUUGAGCGCUGGCGGCAGGCUUAACACAUGCAAGUCGAGCGGAGAUGAGGUGCUUGCACCUUAUCUUAGCGGCGGACGGGUGAGUAAUGCUUAGGAAUCUGCCUAUUAGUGGGGGACAACAUUCCGAAAGGAAUGCUAAUACCGCAUACGCCCUACGGGGGAAAGCAGGGGAUCUUCGGACCUUGCGCUAAUAGAUGAGCCUAAGUCGGAUUAGCUAGUUGGUGGGGUAAAGGCCUACCAAGGCGACGAUCUGUAGCGGGUCUGAGAGGAUGAUCCGCCACACUGGGACUGAGACACGGCCCAGACUCCUACGGGAGGCAGCAGUGGGGAAUAUUGGACAAUGGGCGGAAGCCUGAUCUAGCCAUGCCGCGUGUGUGAAGAAGGCCUUAUGGUUGUAAAGCACUUUAAGCGAGGAGGAGGCUACUUUAGAUAAUACCUAGAGAUAGUGGACGUUACUCGCAGAAUAAGCACCGGCUAACUCUGUGCCAGCCGCCGCCGUAAUAC